AUUGAACGCUGGCGGCAGGCCUAACACAUGCAAGUCGAGCGAGCGGCGGACGGGUGAGUAAUGUAUGGGGACUGCCCGAUAGAGAGGGAGAACUUCAGGAAACGGUAGCUAAUACCGCAUACUAUCGGAUAACCCAUAUGGGAUGAGCUAGUAUGUGAGGUAAUGGCUCACCUAGGCGACGAUCCCUAGCUGGUCUGAGAGGAUGAUCAGCCACACUGGAACGGAGACACGGCCAAGACUCCUACGGAGGCAGCAGUGGGGAAUGUUGGACAAUGGGGGAAACCCUGAUCCAGACAUCACGCGUGUAUGAUGAAGGCCUUCGGGUUGUAAAGUACUUUUGGCCGAGAAGCGGUAUCUGCAGAAUAAGCACCGGCUAACUACGUGCCAGCAGCCGCGGUAAUAC
rnacentral:rRNA from 1 species